rnacentral:tmRNA from 1 species
GGGGGUGACCUGGCUUCGACGUGGGUCGCGAAACCUUCGGGGCAUGCCGAGGUGCAGAGUUCCUCGCAAAUCCAACUGCAUUUUAUAGUUGCCAACGACGACAACUACGCCCUAGCAGCUUAAUCCCUGCUAGCCUCUCACCCGGUUUUUCUAUGGGUUGGGAUUCGAGGGGUCGACUCACAUAGAAUCGCGAAAGGGUGCGUCCGUUACCUGAUCGUUAAAACUCAAGCGGGCUCGCCGUCUGUUUCGCCUGUCUGUUGGCGUGCAGCCGGUCAAACUAAAGACAGACUAAGCAUGUAGAACCGGAUGGCAGAGGGCUUGCGGACGCGGGUUCGACUCCCGCCACCUCCACCA